AUUGGCGUGUGUGGGCAUGUUGGAUCCCUGCUCGGGCAGCGACGACGUGUCUUGCGCGCCUCUUCAGUCGUUGGCACGAGUGCUCGUCAGCCUUGGCCGACGUCGGUUUCCUGUGCUGUAUACCUUCCGCGAAGGCAUUCGGUCGGCCCGAACGUCCCGUUUCCGCCCUGUGCUGCGCCUCUCGGGGCUGCGGCGCGGGGUGGACCUCAAAGCGUCCGCCGUGUUCCACGUCCCGUGCACGCACACACGUGCUCGGGUUGUUGGCCCAUGGCGUCAUGCUCGAUCUCUCGGAUGCGGAACACCCGGUGGGUACGAGGCCUCGGCCUCUAUUUGCCCCGAAACAAGCGUUCUACGCUUCGUGCGAACGACGGUCGUGCCCGUUUUGGUCGGGUCCCCGCGGCUCGGCUCAUGCGGCGCCGGCGUCGGUGAGGAAUGCUAC
rnacentral:misc_RNA from 1 species